rnacentral:rRNA from 1 species
CUCGAGGCCAGAUCUUUCCGGUUGAUCCCGCCGGAACCGACCGCUAUCGGGGUAGGGCUAAGCCAUGGGAGUCGAACGCCCCGCCGCUGCGGGGCGUGGCGGACGGCUGAGUAACACGUGGCUAACCUACCCUCGGGACGGGUAUAACCCCGGGAAACUGGGGCUAAUCCCCGAUAGGCGGGGGGGCCUGGAAGGGUCCCCCGCCGAAAGGGGCCGCGGGGGGUUAUCGCCCGCGGUCCGCCCGAGGAUGGGGCUGCGGCCCAUCAGGGUAGUUGGCGGGGUAAUGGCCCGCCAAGCCUACGACGGGUAGGGGCCGUGGGAGCGGGAGCCCCCAGAUGGGCACUGAGACAAGGGCCCAGGCCCUACGGGGCGCACCAGGCGCGAAAACUCCGCAAUGCGGGCAACCGUGACGGGGCUACCCCGAGUGCCCCCCUUGGGGGGGCUUUUCCCCGCUGUAGGAAGGCGGGGGUAAUAAGCGGGGGGCAAGACUGGUGUCAGCCGCCGCGGUAAUACCAGCCCCGCGAGCGGUCGGGGUGAUUAUUGGGCCUAAAGCGCCCGUAGCCGGCUCGACAAGUCCCCGCCUAAA